rnacentral:rRNA from 1 species
GAUGGAAGAUGGCGAGAAAAGCUGUGUGUAUUUCUGCGGUGCCCGUACCGCAAACCGACACAGGUAGGUAGGAAGAAGAUUCUAAGGCCAACGGGAGAAGGGUUGUUAAGGAACUCGGCAAAUUGACCCCGUAACUUCGGGAGAAGGGGUGCUCCAGAGAUGGAGCCGCAGAGAAUCGGCCCAAGCAACUGUUUACCAAAAACACAGGUUUGUGCUAAAUCGAAAGAUGACGUAUACGAGCUGACGCCUGCCCGGUGCUGGAAGGUUAAGAGGAGAUGUGCAAGCAUUGAAUCGAAGCCCCAGUGAACGGCGGCCGUAACUAUAACGGUCCUAAGGUAGCGAAAUUCCUUGUCAGGUAAGUUCUGACCCGCAUGAAAGGCGUAAUGAUUUGGGCACUGUCUCAACAGCCCGCCCGGCGAAAUUGUAGUACCGGUGAAGAUGCCGGUUACCCGCGACAAGACGGAAAGACCCCAUGGAGCUUUACUGUAGCCUAAUAUUGGGUUUCGAUGUUGCAUGCACAGGAUAGAUGGGACACAGGGAAACAAGUGCUUUGGCAUUUGUGGAGUGGCCGUUGGGAUACCAUCCUUGCGAUAUUGGAAUUCUAACCUGCGCCUUUGAAUCAAGGCGGGGGACAUUGUUAGGUGGGCAGUUUGACUGGGGCGGUCGCCUCCUAAAGAGUAACGGAGGCGUUCAAAGGUUCGCUCAGCUUGAACGGAAAUCAAGCAAAAGAGUGCAAACGCAGAAGCGAGCCUAACUGCGAGACUGACGGGUCGAGCAGUAACGAAAGUUGGAGUUAGUGAUCCGGUGGUAUGUGAGUGGAAAUGCCAUCGCUCAACGGAUAAAAGUUACCCUGGGGAUAACAGGCUGAUCUCCCCCAAGAGUCCACAUCGACGGGGAGGUUUGGCACCUCGAUGUCGGCUCAUCGCAUCCUGGGGCUGUAUUCGGUCCCAAGGGUUUGGCUGUUCGCCAAUUAAAGCGGUACGCGAGCUGGGUUCAGAACGUCGUGAGACAGUUCGGUCCCUAUCUGUCGUGGGCGCAGGAUAUUUGAUGGGAGCUGUUCCUAGUACGAGAGGACCGGAGCGGACGUACCUCUGGCGCACCAGUUGUUCUGCCAAGAGCAUAGCUGGGCAACUAUGUACGGAUCGGAUAAACGCUGAAAGCAUCUAAGCGUGAAGCCGACCCAAAGAUAAGAUAUCCCAUUGUUUCAAACAAGUAAGACCCCUUGAAGACUACAAGGUUGAUAGGCACGAUGUGUAAGUGGAGUGAUCCAUUCAGCAAGCGUGUACUAAUAGGUCGAGGGCUUGACCAC